UGCCUCUUUACGUGGCCAGGAAAUUUUCCCUAAGCACAGUUAUAUCCGUAUGACACUACAAGAGAAUAUCCCCUCGAUGUAUGUAGAUUAACCUAUAAGUCCUUAAAUUUCACACACACUAAAAAAAAAUAACACAAAGUCGAUGGCAACGCUAUGAUAGAGCGCUCGACCAGCGGUCUCUGACGACUGUCAAGUCUAGUCGGAGACCCAAGUGUCCAAACGAAGCCUUGGAAUAUCCGUCCUAAACUUUGUCGAUAUGUAAAUCUGAUUCUAUCAUACAGUCAUUUGUCAUUCCGCCUGAAACGUGACCCUGGCCUGGGGCAACAGCGAUAUAAUGUCUGAUGUACGAGCGAGCACCUACAUUGGAAAAUGUCAGCAGCUAUCAAAAUGCUGAAGUAUGCCGUCGAAGCAAUGUGCAAAAGUGUGUACAACCAGUUUAAUUUAUAGGUUUCAUUCCCAUCAUACCAUUUGAUUUAGAUGGUUAAUUUAGGGUCAACACGCAAACACAGGAGUUCGAAGAAAAACAUAUUGCUUUUCAGCACGCAAUUGUAGAACUCUACGACUCGUGGAUAUCUCACUGCCUGGCUGAUAGAACAAGUGGCACAGCAAAAGAAUAAAACAAUUUGUGAUCAAUUCCUUACCAGUGUUAACCCCUACCAGGGUUGGUGACCUUAUUGAGUGUGUUUGUUUCUAAACAAAUAGAAUUUUGACCUUUGGUUGUUUUGUGAAUAGGAGACCUUUCACCCCCAAGAUGUCAAAUAUGUUUCAAUUGAAUUCAUGAUUAAUUGACAGAUGUAUUUGUAAGUCUUACAAAAUAUAAAUUAUGAAUUAUG